rnacentral:rRNA from 1 species
UACGAAGGGUGCUAGCGUUGUUCGGAAUCACUGGGCGUAAAGGGCGUGUAGGCGGCUCGACAAGUCAGAGGUGAAAGCCCAGGGCUCAACCCUGGAAUUGCCUUUGAAACUGUCGAGCUUGAGUGUCGGAGGGGAUAGCGGAAUUGCUAAUGUAGAGGUGAAAUUCGUAGAUAUUAGCAGGAACACCGGUGGCGAAGGCGGCUAUCUGGACGACAACUGACGCUGAGGCGCGAAAGCACGGGGAUCAAACAGG